GAUUGAACGCUGGCGGUAUGCUUAACACAUGCAAGUCGAACGGAAACGAUACUAGCUUGCUAGUAGGCGUCGAGUGGCGGACGGGUGAGUAACGCGUAGGAAUCUGCCUGAUAGUGGGGGAUAGCCCGAAGAAAUUCGGAUUAAUACCGCAUAAUCUAUUCGUAGUAAAGUGGGGGACUUUCGAGCCUCACGCUAUCAGAUGAGCCUGCGUAAGAUUAGCUAGUUGGUAGGGUAAAAGCCUACCAAGGCAACGAUCUUUAGCUGGUCUGAGAGGAUGAUCAGCCACAUCGGGACUGAGACACGGCCCGAACUCCUACGGGAGGCAGCAGUGGGGAAUAUUGGACAAUGGGGGCAACCCUGAUCCAGCAAUACCGCGUGUGUGAAGAAGGCCUGAGGGUUGUAAAGCACUUUCAAUUGUGAAGAAAAGUUAACGGUUAAUAACCGUUAGCCUUGACGUUAACUUUAGAAGAAGCACCGGCUAACUCCGUGCCAGCAGCCGCGGUAAUACGGAGGGUGCAAGCGUUAAUCGGAAUUACUGGGCGUAAAGCGUGCGUAGGCGGUUUAUUAAGUCAGAUGUGAAAGCCCCGGGCUUAACCUGGGAACUGCAUUUGAAACUGGUCAACUAGAGUAUGGUAGAGGAAAGUGGAAUUUCUGGUGUAGCGGUGAAAUGCGUAGAUAUCAGAAGGAACAUCAAUGGCGAAGGCAGCUUUCUGGACCAAUACUGACGCUGAGGUACGAAAGCGUGGGUAGCAAACAGGAUUAGAUACCCUGGUAGUCCACGCCGUAAACGAUGAUAACUAGCCGUUGGGGGUAUUUAACCUUUAGUGGCGAAGCUAACGCGUUAAGUUAUCCGCCUGGGGAGUACGGCCGCAAGGUUAAAACUCAAAGGAAUUGACGGGGACCCGCACAAGCGGUGGAGCAUGUGGUUUAAUUCGAUGCAACGCGAAGAACCUUACCUGGUCUUGACAUCCUGCGAACUUUCUAGAAAUAGAUUGGUGCCUUCGGGAACGCAGUGACAGGUGCUGCAUGGCUGUCGUCAGCUCGUGUCGUGAGAUGUUGGGUUAAGUCCCGUAACGAGCGCAACCCCUAUCCUUAUUUGCCAGCACGUCAUGGUGGGAACUAUAAGGAGACUGCCGGUGAUAAACCGGAGGAAGGCGGGGACGACGUCAAGUCAUCAUGGCCCUUACGACCAGGGCUACACACGUGCUACAAUGGGAAGGACAAAGAGCCGCGAAGCCGCGAGGUGUAGCUAAUCUCAGAAACCUUUUCGUAGUCCGGAUUGGAGUCUGCAACUCGACUCCAUGAAGUCGGAAUCGCUAGUAAUCGUAGAUCAGAAUGCUACGGUGAAUACGUUCCCGGGUCUUGUACUCACCGCC
rnacentral:rRNA from 1 species